AGCAGGGCCUUCCCAAGUGACCCACUGCUACCGAGCCCUAAGGGACCGGUGACUUGCACGUGGGUCCUUUUGCCCAGAGCCACUCCCGCUAAUAGAAUGAGACUGGACUUGGAACAGCAGAGCAGAAACGUUAUUCAUUGAUCAACAAACAGAGGCCGAGUUCAUGCCGUAAAACUCCUUCUCCCGGAAGGGAAGAUGCAAGCCUGGCUAGAAGGAUAAGCUGCAGAAACAAUGAAGCAGGAGACCCCUACUAUCAUCUUCUGAAGGUACUGACUGGUUUGCUUGCUGGUCUGCUUUCUGGCUGUCCCACUAGGAUAUGAGCUCUCGGGAGCGGCACUGUCGUGAUUCUGAGGCGGAGGUUACCAAACAGGCCUUUACCAGGGAGCCCUUGGCGUCAACGCUGCGGAAGGGGAGGAGAC
rnacentral:lncRNA from 1 species